rnacentral:lncRNA from 1 species
GGCUACAAGCUGGUGACGGACGGCACCGACAACCACCUCAUCCUGUGGGACCUGCGCCCCGAGGGCGUGACUGGCAGCAAGAUGGAGAAGGCGUGCGACCUGUGCCACAUCACGCUAAACAAGAACGCGGUGGUGGGCGACCUGUCCGCCAUGAACCCCGGCGGCGUGCGCAUUGGUGAGUGCUCGGCCCCGCGCAGUAGUUCGACAUGCGGCCCAUUCCUGCUCUGUAGCAUGCAUGUUAGGGCUGUGUCAUUGUAUGGAUACGGUGUAAGAUUGCAGUGCGCUGAAAUAGUUGCUUGUUGCGUGCACGUGCUGCUUCUUCAGGCACGCCCGCCAUGACCUCUCGCGGCCUGACGGAGGGCGAC